CUCUAAAACAAAACAUACGGUGAAAGAGUUGAGUUUUCUUCGGUUUUUGCCAUUAAAGAAGCCGUGGUGGGUACCGAGAGGGGCAUAAAGGGGAGCGGGUUUUGUUGUGAGGAGCGAAGAGGGUUGAAGUUUUGUUGUGAGGAGACAGAAGGGCUUCGGGACUAUGGCGGCCAAUAGUCCGACCGCCAUGGUGGGGUUUUGUUUGUUUACGAGGUUUUGGGUUUUAGAGUAAAAGCACUUGAAAAGAGGAAGAGUUGAUGUGAAGUGGAUUGUGG
rnacentral:lncRNA from 1 species